rnacentral:tRNA from 5 species
GGGCCGUUAGCUCAGCAUGGGAGAGCGCCACAAUGGCAUUGUGGAGGUCACCGGUUCGAUCCCGGUACGGUCCA